UCUCGGCUUAUCACCGGCAGUCCCCCUAGAGUGCCCAACUGAAUGAUGGCAACUAAGGGCGAGGGUUGCGCUCGUUGCGGGACUUAACCCAACAUCUCACGACACGAGCUGACGACAGCCGUGCAGCACCUGAACCAGAGGUCCCCGAAGGGAAGACUUUAUUUCUAAAGGUGUCCUCUGUUGUCUAGCCCGGGUAAGGUUCUUCGCGUUGCGUCGAAUUGAACCACAUGCUCCACCGCUUGUGCGGGCCCCCGUCAAUUCCUUUGAGUUUUAACCUUGCGGCCGUACUCCCCAGGCGGAUAACUUAACGCGUUAGCUGCGCCACCGAAACUCUAAGAGCCCCGACAGCUAGUUAUCAUCGUUUACGGCGUGGACUAC
rnacentral:misc_RNA from 1 species